UACGAAGGGGGCUAGCGUUGCUCGGAAUUACUGGGCGUAAAGCGCACGUAGGCGGCUUUCUAAGUCGGGGGUGAAAUCCUGGAGCUCAACUCCAGAACUGCCUUCGAUACUGGAGCUUGAGUCCGGGAGAGGUGAGUGGAACUGCGAGUGUAGAGGUGAAAUUCGUAGAUAUUCGCAAGAACACCAGUGGCGAAGGCGGCUCACUGGCCCGGUACUGACGCUGAGGUGCGAAAGCGUGGGGAGCAAACAGGGAUUAAGAAACCC
rnacentral:rRNA from 1 species